UUCAGGAUGGCCGAGUGGUUAUGGCAUCGGACUUCUGAUCCGAGUGACGGUUAUGUCGGCAGGUUCGAUUCCUGCUCCUGAGCAG
rnacentral:tRNA from 1 species